rnacentral:misc_RNA from 1 species
AACGCACAUUGCGCCCGCCAGCACUCUGGCGGGCAUGCCUGUUCGAGCGUCAUUUCAACCCUCAGGCCCCCGUGGCCUGGUGUUGGGGCACUGCCGCGCCGCCCGUGCGGCGCGCGCAGGCCCUGAAAACCAGUGGCGGGCUCGCCAGCUCUCCGGGCGCAGUAGUUUGUCUCGCCUCGGCGGUCUGGCGCGGUCUUGCCGUGAAACCCCCCUUGAACCUAAAAGGUUGACCUCGGAUCAGGUAGGAAUACCCGCUGAACUUAA